rnacentral:rRNA from 1 species
UACAGAGGGUGCAAGCGUUGUUCGGAAUUAUUGGGCGUAAAGGGCGUGUAGGCGGUUUGCUAAGUCAUGUGUGAAAUCCCCCGGCUUAACCGAGGAACGACGCAUGAUACUGGCAAGCUAGAGUACCAAAGAGGGGGGUGGAAUUCCCGGUGUAGCGGUGAAAUGCGUAGAGAUCGGGAGGAAUACCCGUGGCGAAGGCGGCCUGCUGGGAUACACCUGACGCUGAGACACGAAGGCGUGGGGAGCGAACAGG